UUGAUGAUGCGCAGUAUAGGAAGCUUUUUGUUUUAAGAUAAUCAGACGAUUGGAGUUAAGACUUCACUCUUCAUUGAUUGUUCUGUACAUUUGUAUAGAAAAUAUAGGAGUUUCAUAGUGUGCAAGAGUUUGAUUAGCAGGUUAUAUCAACGCAAUAUAGACAAAUUUAUCGCGCUCAACAUUCGAAUUUCAUUGAGCUUAUAUCGAAAUCGAAUUAAACUUUACCAGCAUCGGAAAAGUCAUAAUUUGACAGUCUAAUUUUGAAUCGGUGUUUGUUGGUUCGAUUUAACUGAAAAUAUUGACUCAAUCAUCGUCGAAAUUAAAUAGGAUUCGUGAAACGUUCACAUUCACUUAAGCAUGAGUCCACAACAAUUCCUUGGUUCUAUGGCCCUAGUAGUGGCAGACUAUGACGAGGCAAUCAAAUUUUUCACGGAAAAGCUUGAUUUCAUUCUCGUGUGCGAUGAAGUGCAAUCACCUACCAAACGAUGAGUGCUUGUUCGACCUCCGAACACUCAGCCCGGUGCGUCCAAUUGUUGUCUCCUUCUGGCAAAGGCAGACGGUGAAGUUCAGAAGACGUUCGUUGGAAAUCAGUCGGGUGGCCGGGUUUUUUUGUUCUUACACACGGACGACUUUUGGCGUGACUAUGAAAAGUAUGUGAAGAACGGCGUUAAGUUUAUAAGAGAACCGAAAGUCGAACCGUAUGGAACAGUUGCCGUGUUUGCGGAUAUUUACGGCAAUUUGUGGGAUCUCGUUCAAAUGAAUAAAAAUGAAUGAUUUCACGUUUGAAA